GUUCCUGCCCAGGCUUUCCCCUGGCCCCUCGGCUAAUGCCCACCACCCCUCUUCACCCCCCUGGCUCUGGCCUCCAGGAUGAGCCCCGCCUGGGAACUUACCUAACAGACUCCCUUGCAGCCCCAGCCGUUUCCAAAUCUGAUGGCCUCAAGACACCUGAAUAAUAAUAAAAUCAACAUUAUAAAACAAGCAGGCGGGGGAGCCGGGAGGGCCGGCUCAGGCUGUGCAGGUGCCACCCCAGCUGGCACACGUGCCUGGCGUGGCCGUGGACUCCCACCCGGAACUCGGAAGCCGGGUCCUCCCUAGGUUCUGCUCCAGCUGUUACCUGCCUGGAUCACAGGAUGACCUUGCAGCGCACCCCCCUUUCCUCAGGGGUCUCGAUUCGGCUAAUGCGCUCCGCUCAGCGCCCGUUUCAGGCCUCAGCCCGGCCGCCUUCCCCCUGCAGGACACACAUCUCCAGGCUACCGUGGGCCUCAGCAGCUUUGCCUUCACACCAUCCACCAUCAUCCAGGAGCGCAGCUGUGACCUCCCGGGGACCGCCGCUUCCUCCAGCGAGUGUCACUGGACCUGCUGCUUCGGGCCCGUCAUCUGUCCAUUCUCUCUGGCUUCUGACGACAACGUGUCCCUCUUCUAGGAUUUCUGUUUCAGUCAGACGCAGGCAGCUCCUCAGAAUCAGCUCCCGGGCAGGAAAGGCUCGAAGAACCGGCCAGACUCGGCCAACGGGCCCUCCCUGCGGGUCUCAGAGACUCCUUCACCUCAGAGACCCGGGCAACCUCCCCUCCUGUUCCCGGGGGCUCUCUGGACCACCCCGGAUGGCCCUUAGUUGUCCAAAGGCUUCUGAUGCAAGAAACUGCCUCUCUCGGGGCACCUGGGUGGCUCAGUGGGUUAAACCUCUGCCUU